rnacentral:rRNA from 1 species
CGUAGGGUGCGAGCGUUAAUCGGAAUUACUGGGCGUAAAGCGUGCGCAGGCGGUUUUGUAAGACAGGCGUGAAAUCCCCGGGCUCAACCUGGGAACUGCGCUUGUGACUGCAAGGCUAGAGUACGGCAGAGGGGGUGGAAUUCCACGUGUAGCAGUGAAAUGCGUAGAGAUGUGGAGGAACACCAAUGGCGAAGGCAGCCCCCUGGGUCGAUACCGACGCUCAUGCACGAAAGCGUGGGUAGCAAACAGGAUUAGAUACCCUGGUAGUCCACGCCCUAAACGAUGUCAACUAGGUGUUGGGUGGUAAAACCAUUUAGUACCGGAGCUAACGCGUGAAGUUGACCGCCUGGGGAGUACGGCCGCAAGGUUA